CGGUACCUGAAGAAUAAGCACCGGCUAACUACGUGCCAGCAGCCGCGGUAAUACGUAGGGUGCAAGCGUUAAUCGGAAUUACUGGGCGUAAAGCGUGCGCAGGCGGUUUUGUAAGUCUGACGUGAAAUCCCCGGGCUCAACCUGGGAACGGCAUUGGAGACUGCAUAGCUAGAGUAUGGCAGAGGGGGGUGGAAUUCCACGUGUAGCAGUGAAAUGCGUAGAUAUG
rnacentral:rRNA from 1 species